GACGUAGGGCGCGAGCGUUGUCCGGAUUUAUUGGGCGUAAAGAGCUCGUAGGCGGCUUGUUGCGUCGGCUGUGAAAACCCGCAGCUUAACUGUGGGCUUGCGGACGAUACGGGCAGGCUAGAGUUCGGUAGGGGAGACUGGAAUUCCUGGUGUAGCGGUGAAAUGCGCAGAUAUCAGGAGGAACACAGUGGCGAAGGCGGACUC
rnacentral:rRNA from 1 species